UACGUAGGGUGCGAGCGUUGUCCGGAAUUAUUGGGCGUAAAGAGCUCGUAGGCGGUUUGUCGCGUCUGCUGUGAAAACCCGAGGCUCAACCUCGGGCCUGCAGUGGGUACGGGCAGACUAGAGUGCGGUAGGGGAGAUUGGAAUUCCUGGUGUAGCGGUGAAAUGCGUAGAUAUCUGCAGGAACACCCGUGGCGAAAGCGGCGCGCUGGACCACUACUGACGCUGAGGAACGAAAGCUAGGGGAGCAAACAGG
rnacentral:rRNA from 1 species